AGUCCCCGCAGGUCAGGAGCGCUGCGCAGGCGAACGACGGGCGCACUAAAGGGGGAUGUGCAUUAACGUGACUCUCCGUAGGACCUACUUCGGAUGGCUCUGUGUGUCUGUCUUUGGAGUGGUUCUGGACCUUCGCUACAGAACGUGGAUGCGAGUCACUCAGUUUGCGCUGCUUUUGUGACGAGAGUGUGUGUUUCUGGUGUGUUCCUCCGGGACUGUGACGAGAGAGAGAGAGACAGCCAGUGAGAGAUGGAACACAAGAGGGGGAGUGGGAGAGGAAGAAGCAGGCUCCCAGUGGAAAAGCCUGAUGCAGGGCUCGAUCCCAGAAUGCUGGGAUCACGCCCUGAACCAAAGGCAGACGCUUAACGACUGAGCCACCCAGACGACCCUACCACUGACCUUCUGAAGAUACAUGAGGAGGAGGAUCAUCUGCUUCUGGACUGCAGUUGACCACAGGUAUAUGACGUAGUAAAAAGGAUGCCAGUCUGAAUGAAGUCCUUCCCACACACUGCACACAUUACUUUCCCCACCAAGACCUAGGAUUAUUUCAAGUUCCAUAGAAAAUAAGCAAUGAUGGAAAAUUUUCUGAAUUCAUUACCAAGUGUGUCUAUCUUCAACUAUAUGUCCUGCCUGAGGUUCACCAAGGUCUGCAAGACAACUGUUGUUUUUCAACAAAUAAUACUAAUGACAACGAUGAAUAAAAUCAUG